AAAACUAAUUGGUUUUAAUUGAAUAAAGCAAUUAGCACAAAAAAAGUGGUUCUCCCAGGGCGAGGCUCAUCCAUUGCACUCCGGGUGUGCUGACCCCUGCGAUUUCCCCAAAUGCGGGAAACUCGACUGCAUAAUUUGUGGUAGUGGGGGACUGCGUUCGCGCUCUCCCCUG